rnacentral:lncRNA from 1 species
GGACAAAAGCAGCGAUGGCAGGAUGGACGACAACCAGGCUGUGCUGUACAUUUGGGAGCAUUUUCCUGUAGUUAAUAUUAGUGUGUCUGCAUACUGAAAGUUAGGAUUUAAGCUAUGUUGAUUGAAAUUUUCUUCCCACUUAAACUAUUGUCUUCUUAAAGACAGGGAACAUGUUAACAUUUCAGUCAGACAUAGUUAAAAAGACUAAUCUAAACAAGAACAAGACACUUUCCAGCAUCACUACGGAUAUAAAAUUUCCAGAAAAAUAUAUAAGAUGGUAUGAAGCUAUGAAGCUGAUUAAAUAUGGACAAAACGUAGCUGGUUAACCUUGAAGUGACUGUUGUACCAUAGUUGUGCACAUGCUUCAGAAUCCUAUGGAAGAGAAUGUUCCUACCUGCAGUAC